GGGAAUCAGAAACACAAUGGCGUGUUUUAACAAAUCGGCAAAGGAGCCCAAGAC
rnacentral:misc_RNA from 1 species